GUGGAUUUUUCUGUCUCACCCGUCAGCUCCUAAAUCACGACACGGACACACUGCAUCACUGAUGGUGACUACAAAAUUCUGUCUGUGUUAGAAGACUUUCUUUAUGUCUGGUACUAAAGAAUUUGUUGAUGCCUACCACCCUCUAAUACUGGGGAGUACAAUCUGUUUGACUCAGUCUCUCAGGAAUAACAAAGAACAAUGCAACUUGUGUAUUUUUCAACUGGCAAGUUAAUUCCCUGCAUAAAGCAUGAACAGAAUAAGAAAAUCAUCUGCCACAUUUGUAAAAACGGAGGUAGAGCUGCUAGACAGGUACAUUAUUUUAAUGGCAGAAUGCAAGUUCUUUUUACAGUUUUUCAUGAUAGUGGAAUUAUGAAAAUUUGUUUUAUAACAUGGGCAAACAUGGUGUAAUGACAGAAAUAUGGAUAUUAAACUGAAUUGUUGCUAUAUUCCCUACUAA